CGAAGGCGGUAACAUCAAUGGUCGUAGUGAUAACGAAUAAUACCAGCAGCAUGGAUAGUAACGGUUGUGGUAGUCGUGAGGAACAGUAAGAACGUUGUUGUUACUGUCUGUCGGUAGCGAUGUGUUCAAGAACUUCUCUGUUUCUUCAGAAUCGGACGUUGCUUAUUUAGCGGAACCCAACACUUGAGAUGGAGAAUGGUUAAAUUAUAGUGGCAAGAGCAGCAGUAGCAGAAGCACCACCACCACCAUCAACAACAAGUGAAAGAGAGAGAGAGCAUUUUUAUUCGAAUUUUGCUAUCGAAGUUAGGAAAAGUUGGUGGAAAAAAAAAGUUAGGCAAUUACCAAAAGUUAGAGAAUUAAAUUUGAAGCACAACAACAUGAUGAUGAUGAUAUGAUGAUGACGAUGGGGAUGCUGACGAAGACGACGACGAUAAUGAUGAUGAUGAUGACGGUGAUAACUUAAGAAGUUGGAACAGAAAACUUUUCCACGCGAAGUUUUAAGGGAGACCACGUCGAGAUAUGUGGAAACUGUUGAAAGAAACUACUAGAUUCUGGAUUAUUUCCUAACAAAAGAAACUCGAUUUUACUUACACACUUACUUCUUCUUCCUCUUCUUCUUCUCACUACUACUACUACUGAAAACUUUGACCUAAAUUAUUUAAAGUUUAAGGGACAAUUACACACAUUAUCAUAUGUUCUUUCAAAUUUAUAGUUUUCAUAUUUUCUCUUUAAUUUGAAAAUAAGAUAAAACUCUUUCGAAAAUUUCAAUUAAGAAUUUCGUUGCGUACUGCAUUCAAAGUACAUCUCUUUAAAAGUACAAAAGGGAACUUUGUUUUUAUCCACGGACCUACCGAAAUACAAUGUGAUGUGAAGUCGUAUGAACUGGAAAAUUACAAGGCUUUCUUAUAAAUAGUGAAAUUAGCUUCCAAAAAUUCAUCUUGGAUUUGAUAAACUUUUCUAAUUUAAAUAUCUACAAAAAGAAAAUCAAAUAAAAUGGUAUAGAAUUAAUAAAUAUCGUUUCCCUUCUGUAUAUAUUGGUAAAGAAGGAAGUUGUAUUAAUUUAAAUGAUUGUCAAUAAAAGUUAUUUUUGUGUGUGUGUGUGUCUGUAAAAAAAAACUGUUAUAAACUCAAAUACAUUUAUUACAACACACGACAAAAAUAACAGUUGGAAAAGAUAAUAUCUUUUUUUUUUCAUUAAUUCCGACCAACUUCAAAAACACCGAAAAAGUACAAAAAUAAAAAAUAAAAAAGGAAAAGAAGAGAAAAGAACUUUUAAAACCUCUUCCGGUUUAUUUAUGAACUUUGAGGAUUUCAGUUGCUCCCUUACUACUUUCUUUCUACCCGACUUAGCUUUCAGCUAUACGGGUAUCAUGCAGUUUGAUCUGAAGUCAGAUAUCGAGAUAUGAUGAACGGGUUGAUAGUUUUCGAAGUUAUCUUGUUAUCAUGUGUAGUGGUUUCCCUGAUGACCCCUACUUCUGUCCCACCUGACUGUACGUUUCGCGUCGACGCAUGCGAACCUUUGAAAAGCAAUGUUUGUUUAGGGGCCCAAGUUGACUUCACUCAUACAUCAACCGUAUUUCUGAGAAACGGCGAUAACGACAGUUCGACCGUGACACAAGAAGAGAUUCAACAGAAGUUACAACUAUGGAAGGGACUCCAGAAUUUCCACAAGUGUUGGUCGGUGGUCCAGCAUCUCUUGUGUUCGGUCUAUGUACCGAAAUGCGAUCCGAACACGUCUAAAGUUGAAUAUCCCAGUCGCGAGUGGUGCCAAAGCGCCGAAAAACAAUGUAGAAUUGUAGAGACUUUUAACAAGAAUCAGGGAUGGCCAUCCUUCCUACGAUGUCAGGCCAAUCACUUUAAGGAAUCGUGUAAGAAUACUGGUUACCAGAAAGUGACCUUCAACAGUACGGGUGUGUGCAGUUGGCCCCUCAUAAAUACCAAUAACUCUGCCACUUGGUACGGCGACAUAGAAGGCUGUGGUCUGCAAUGCAAGAACCCGCUCUACACAGACAGGCAACACAACCAGGUCCACGUCUUCAUUGCUGUUCUGGGGACCCUUUCGUUGUUGUCUUCUUUGUUCACCGUGCUAACCUUCCUGAUCGACUGGAAGAAUGCCAGCCGCUAUCCUGCCCUCAUCCUGUUUUUCAUUAACAUCUGCUUUGUGAUGGGCAGCAUUGGAUGGUUGGCCCAGUUUGCUGGAAAUGCUCGAGAGGAUAUCGUAUGUAAUGCUGAUAAAACUGUACGGAUUGGUGAACCGCAACCAGGUUCUGGUGAGAGUGCUUCCUGCAGCAUCAUAUUCCUCCUCAUCUACUAUUUCACAAUGGCUGGCGUUGUCUGGUUUGUCAUGCUCUCCUACGCCUGGCACACAACAUUCAAGGCCCUUGGUACACCCCGUGACAUACUCAGUGGUAAAACUGCCUAUUUCCACAUCAUUUCGUGGUGUGUCCCUUUGGUGCUCUCCAUCACCUGCCUUGCAUCUUCAGAAAUCGAUGGUGAUUAUAUAUCUGGUAUAUGUUUCGUUGGCUAUGUCAACCGUGGAGUACGUGCUGGAUUUGUUCUUGUACCAAUUGCCAUAGUCCUUAUCUUAGGACUCAAUUUUAUGGUCAGAAGUUUAUGUACUCUAAUCAGCGUGAAGAAGGAGACACCGGACUUUAUUGGAGACAAAGCCACUGCCAAGAUCCAGGAGACAAUCAUUAGAAUUGGAAUGUUCUCCGGUCUUGCAGUGCUGUUCGUCUGUGUCACCUUUGCUGUCCAUACGUAUAUAUUUGUCUGGGAGGAAGACUGGCGGAAGAAUCUCAAGAAUUAUGUCAUGUGUAAAGUGGAAGCAACGGUGACCAACAUGACUACAUCAGUUUGUGACUCGCUGUUUGAGAACAAACUCAGCCUCGUCGCUACGGAGAUUCACAUCUUCUCAUUCUUCGGUGCCGGAAUAGUCAUGAGUUCCUGGUCUUGGAAUAAAGCAUCUCUUUCUGCCUGGGAACGAUUCCUACGCAAAGUAUUCCGUAAACCAUCCAGUCGUACGGUGAAGCUGAAACGGCACAAAAUGAUUGCUAAAGCAUUUGCUAAGAGGAAGGAAAUAAACAGUGGUCGCUUUUCCAUCAGUUUCUACAGCACCCAUGAUGACCCCUUAGGGAUGAAGUUUGAUUUAAAUAGUGUCAGCUCCGGAGAUGUUUCUUCUGAGUUUGCUGCCAACAUGCCAAAAUUGGUUCGAAGACGUGGAGGUAUGUUUCAGCCCAUGGCCGGAACCCUGAGGAGAUAUUCGGACUCUGAUGUCGCAUCAGUGACGUCACGGAUAUUUUCCAUGGAAAACAGUGAUGGGGAGAAAAUAGAUGAUGGGAACGAUCAAAAACUGAAGAAGAAAAAGAAGAAGAAGAAACGUUUUUCUAACAACCGUGUCAAACCUCAGUUGACCCCUUUGGUUUUAGCCAUGCAGAAAGGGGCACAGGAGUUCCUUCGGAGCAGUAAAAGACACAAGCGUCGUGGUAGUGAUACGUCUGGUAUCAGUCGGGCUUCGGCUCAGAGCAUCCAUUUCUCUCUCGACCGAAACAGCAGCGCUGAUGCUCUGUCUAUUUCUUCGAUGAAACCAAAUUCGGAAUUGAACAUUCAUAAAAUCCACAAGACAGAAACAAAAUCUAAAAGAGUGACAAACUUUGCUAUUUUCACAGCGAAUUCUUUAUUGCCGGGAUCUGUACAAGACAACGAUGGCCCACAAGGGACGAAUUUAGCCAUGGGAGACAUGACCGCCGGUCAUUCAUCCUGUACGCAGUGUGGUGCCCAAAGUGUUUUCCCACCUGAAAUUGCCAUUUUUAACAUAGAAGACGAAACUUCAUCAACCACUUCUUCUUCUUGCUGAUUCCUGCCAAAACUCCAAUUUCACCAAAGACAUUUCUAUCAGUUCCCAGAUAACAUUGCAUCUUUUGAGACGUCCUACAAACAGAGGGUACUUGAGUUUCAUUUCUCAAGUCCCUCGUAAGGACUGGAGGUUGACGUCUCUUAUUUUUUUUUUGUCUCCAGUUCUGACUUGCCAUUUACCCUUUU
rnacentral:misc_RNA from 1 species